UUUGUACUCCCUCCGUUCCAAAUUACUCGUCGCAGAAAUGAAUGUAUCUAGAACUAAAAUACAUCUAGAUACAUCCAUUUUUGCGAUGAGUAAUUCGGAACGGAGGAAGUAUAUA
rnacentral:pre_miRNA from 1 species